CGAUGACUGUCUGAUCGAACAUCGUGAACGACACGCUGUGCGAGAACGGCCAUCGCAGAAGCGCAUCAUACUCGCCAGGAUGUCACCGGCUGGGCUACUUUUCGAAAUAUUAAAGUGAUAACACAGGGUGUAGCGCCCUGGGAGAUAUUGUCUCGUGCAGAGAACCACGUGGGAGAUGCAAGCCAGGAAUACUUUAAUUGUUGUGUUGUUCAAGCGAUUGCAUCAUUGAUGUACAUAAUCCGUGUUUUCAAAUUUAUUUUCGCAAAUAGACCAAUGUAAAAAUAUAUUUUAUUUUUAAUAUCAUAAGAUUCCCAUAUACACAGCACAGAUGUUCAAGGGACUUUCUGAAGAACAUCCUGAAAAUAUCCCAAAGUACCAAGAACAUUCGCACGAAUAUCUUUGAGAUAAACACGUUACUUCAGGAAAAGGAAUUGUAAGAUCCGAUCAACCAUUCGUAUACAAAUGCAUCCGGUGUAUAUAAAUAUGUGUGCGAACACGCUCGAAGGUGCUUGGAAGUUGAAACCUGCAUGACCGGCAAGGUCGAGGAACCUAACGCAACCAGCCUAGCGAAAAAAGAAGAAUCGGAGACAUGAUAUAUGAAGAAAUCGGAGAACUUGAGAUACUUGUCAUACUUACAAAGUAAAUCGACAC